AUUGAACGCUGGCGGCAGGCUUAACACAUGCAAGUCGAACGAGUGGCGGACGGGUGAGUAAUGCUUGGGAAUCUAGCUUAUGGAGGGGGAUAACUACGGGAAACUGUAGCUAAUACCGCGUACCAUAGGAUGAGCCCAAGUGGGAUUAGGUAGUUGGGGAGGUAAAGGCUCACCAAGACGACGAUCCCUAGCUGGUCUGAGAGGAUGACCGGCCACACUGGUACUGAGACACGGCCCAGACUCCUACGGGAGGCAGCAGUUGGGAAUAUUGCGCAAUGGGGGCAACCUGACGCAGCCACGCCGCGUGAAUGAAGAAGGCCUUCGGGUUGUAAAGUUCUUUCGGUAGCGAGGCGUUAACUACAGAAGAAGCACCGGCUAACUCCGUGCCAGCCGCCGCGGUAAUAC
rnacentral:rRNA from 1 species